CCCAAAAGACUUGUAUAAAGGUCAAGAUAUGGUUGACAAGUUUCUACCCACUCUCCGUAAAUGAGUGGACUACAAGCAGAUUUUUUACU
rnacentral:ncRNA from 1 species